rnacentral:rRNA from 1 species
GACAGUGUCUGGUGGGUAGUUUGACUGGGGCGGUCUCCUCCUAAAGAGUAACGGAGGAGCACGAAGGUUGGCUAAUCCUGGUCGGACAUCAGGAGGUUAGUGCAAUGGCAUAAGCCAGCUUGACUGCGAGCGUGACGGCGCGAGCAGGUGCGAAAGCAGGUCAUAGUGAUCCGGUGGUUCUGAAUGGAAGGGCCAUCGCUCAACGGAUAAAAGGUACUCCGGGGAUAACAGGCUGAUACCGCCCAAGAGUUCAUAUCGACGGCGGUGUUUGGCACCUCGAUGUCGGCUCAUCACAUCCUGGGGCUGAAGUAGGUCCCAAGGGUAUGGCUGUUCGCCAUUUAAAGUGGUACGCGAGCUGGGUUUAGAACGUCGUGAGACAGUUCGGUCCCUAUCUGCCGUGGGCGCUGGAGAACUGAGGGGGGCUGCUCCUAGUACGAGAGGACCGGAGUGGACGCAUCACUGGUGUUCGGGUUGUCAUGCCAAUGGCACUGCCCGGUAGCUAAAUGCGGAAGAGAUAAGUGCUGAAAGCAUCUAAGCACGAAACUUGCCCCGAGAUGAGUUCUCCCUGACUCCUUGAGAGUCCUGAAGGAACGUUGAAGACGACGACGUUGAUAGGCCGGGUGUGUAAGCGCAGCGAUGCGUUGAGCUAACCGGUACU